rnacentral:rRNA from 1 species
AGAGUUUGAUCAUGGCUCAGGAUGAACGCUGGCGGCGUGCCUAACGCAUGCAAGUCGAGCGAGGACCGCCCGGUGGCAACACCGGGUUGGUGCCUAGCGGCGAACGGGUGAGUAACACGUGGGUAACCUGCCCCCGACACCGGGAUAAGCCUGGGAAACUGGGUCUAAUACCGGAUAUGAGCCUCCUCCGCAUGGUGGAGGCUGGAAAGGGUCCCCGGUCGGGGAUGGGCCCGCGUCCUAUCAGCUUGUUGGUGGGGUAACGGCCUACCAAGGCGACGACGGGUAGCCGGCCUGAGAGGGUGUACGGCCACACUGGGACUGAGACACGGCCCAGACUCCUACGGGAGGCAGCAGCGGGGAAUAUUGCGCAAUGGGCGAAAGCCUGACGCAGCGACGCCGCGUGCGGGAUGAAGGCCUUCGGGUUGUAAACCGCUUUCAGCAGGGACGAAGCGCAAGUGACGGUACCUGCAGAAGAAGGUCCGGCCGACUACGUGCCAGCAGCGGCGGUAAUAC